AUACGGAGGGUGCAAGCGUUACUCGGAAUCACUGGGCGUAAAGCGCGCGCAGGCGGCUAUUUAAGUUGGAUGUGAAAGCCUACGGCUCAACCGUAGAACUGCAUCCAAAACUAUUUAGCUAGAGUGUGGGAGAGGAAGAUGGAAUUAGUUGUGUAGGGGUAAAAUCCGUAGAGAUAACUAGGAAUACCAAAAGCGAAGGCAAUCUUCUGGAACACUGCUGACGCUGAGGCGCGAAAGCGUGGGGAACAAACAGGAUUAGAAACCCUAGUAGUCC
rnacentral:rRNA from 1 species